AAAUACACAAGGGAGUGCCUUGAGCUGAGAUUGCAGAUAUGCAAAAUCCUCUAACCUGAUCUCGUUAGGACGAGCGUAGGAAUUGUGGUUUGAAUUGGU
rnacentral:ncRNA from 20 species